rnacentral:rRNA from 1 species
AUUGAACGCUGGCGGCAGGCUUAACACAUGCAAGUCGAACGAGUGGCGGACGGAUGAGUAAUGCUUGGGAAUCUAGCUUAUGGAGGGGGAUAACUACGGGAAACUGUAGCUAAUACGGCGUACCAUGAGAUGAGCCAAAGUGGGAUUAGGUAGGUGGUGAGGUAAAGGCUCAACAAGCCGACGAUAUAUAGAUGGUCUGAGAGGAUGACCAGCCAUACUGGGACUGAGACACGGCCCAGACUCCUACGGGAGGCAGCAGUGGGGAAUAUUGCGCAAUGGGGGCAACCUGACGCAGCCAUGCCGCGUGAAUGAAGAAGGCCUUCGGGUUGUAAAGUUCUUUCGGUAGCGAUGCGUGAACUACAGAAGAAGCACCGGCUAACUCCGUGCCAGCAGCCGCGGUAAAC